GGGACGGGAGCGGGCCCGGGGCGGGCGCGGUGGCUCCGAGGGGCAGGGGCGCCUCCGGACGCCCGGUGCCCGACCCCCGAGCCACGGCGGGAGGCGACUGACUCCGCAGCGCUACUUGGCCGCUUCAGCCCGGGGACGGAGAGGCGCAAGUGACGGCCAUCGACAGGACAUCGGGGCUCGGGACGGAGGGACGGAGCUCGCCUCACCGGCGCGGCGCGGACACGCGCGGCCGCUCCCCCCGCAGCCGCCAGGGGGCGCCGCUCCCGCGCGGUGGUGGCGAUUCCGCGCCCCGGCGGUGCCCGCGCCCGCUCCGCGUCCCACGACAGGGCCGGCCGCGGCACCGUGAGGGUGCCAGAGAUGUACCGGAGCAGAAGCUAGAGGUAGAAGGCACAUCUUACAACCAGCCUCAUCCUGGAGAAGCUGUGGCAAAGCCCUCCUAUAUUCUGAUAACAAACUCCUGCGGCCUAACGUGCGCAGUCCUCAGCCAAGCCCUUGCUAGGAGCGCUUGACUUUGAAUAUCUGUAAGUGAAGACCGAGGACGCGGUGCUGGGUAGUGGAUUGCCGUGCGCUAUAUUUAGAAAGCAGCUGGAAGAGAAAAUGUCCUCAGGAAUCCGGGCUGGUUUAUUGUAAAUGUCCCUCCAGCCCCAGCACUGUGAACGUAAACGCUGGCUCCUCAGACGUGCCAGCGCUCCGCACAGCCGGGGAGCGCUGGAUGAGGACGGGCCGGGGCAGCCCUCGGUGGAUGCUGCUGGCGGGCGCACCGCAGCGGGACGCAGCCAGCCCCGCUUCAGGGACACAGCCCCGCAGCUGCGCCGGCCUGAGGCUUCUAAUGUGAGGAAAAACACGCGGUGACAAGUGUAGAAAAGAGCAAGCACUAAAUUACUGUCAGAAAAAUAAACGGCGGAGCGCGGUGCUGCGCGGUGAUUUACGGGGGCAAUUAGCCACCGCCCCACGGAGCUGCCGAGGGCGGCGGGGCCGCCGCAGCAUCCCCCGGACCUGGCCCGGCUCUCGCCCCAGGCUCGGGCCCCCAGGCCUCGCCCCCCGCCCGCGGCUCUUUUUUUGCCCACCCCAAACACGGGGGUGCGGGAGGAGGGGGCGGCUGCCCCCCGAAGCCGGAGCUGUGUUCGCGGGGAUGGUGGGUGUGCUUGUUCCUUGUGGAGACCCGCUGGUGCCCAGGUGCACGGGGUGACGGGAGAGGUGAGGAAAGUACACGGAAAAUACUCUCGGAGAAGGGAAGCUGGGGCUGGGGGAGAGGAUGGAGGUGGCUCUGCAGCUGCUGCAUAUCUUCUGGAGGUGCCGUGGGCCCCUGGGUGUCCAGCCUGCCCUGCAGUCCUGGGGAAGGGCCAGCUCUGCCGCCAACUGGGAGCACACAUUAAACAGGUCUUAAUGCUGUUGUUUCACCAGGAUGGAGUCCAGGAGAGAUGCUCUAAUUUGCAGCUAGCAGCAGGCAAAGUACAGGCGAUCCACACUCUGGUUCAGCCUGGGGUGGUGGCAGUGAGCCCCCAGGCAGCACUUUGUGGGGCUUCUCAGGGGGGCAGCUGGAACAACCACCAAGUCUCUGGUCUAGCGUGGUCUUUGGCUGGACCCCAUGGCUGGGAAUGGGUACCUGCGCCUGAGAUCCUCCAGACUCUGGUUUCCAUCUUUAGGUAUCACAGCGUCCCUCCUUUGCCCCAACUCAUGUUACUGGAUCCACUUCAAAUAUGUGGUGGUUUUGUAACUUUGUGCCACCCUGUCUGCCAUUCUUGACCAAGCUGGCCUUACUGAGUUCGUGUUUGUAUGGCUACUUCCAUUUUGUAAGGCUGUAUGGGACACCUAGGGCUUGUGUCUGUCCCCUGAGCAGGGCCUGGCUCCUGCAGGAGGUAGCAGUAUCUGACUUGGGAUGCAUGCUCCCGUUAGAUUGCCAGGCCAGCGUCUGGCUCCUCCAAAUAGUUGGCACUUGGAUUGUGGGAGACAGCCUGUCCGAGCUUUACUGCAACAGCUGGUGCCAGCCAGCUCUUCAAGGAUGGGUGCCAGCAGCAGGAGGAGUGCGCCAGGGCCUGCUCAUCAAACAGACCGGCAGCCGUCCCGUGGCUACCACCGAGGGACAAAGGGAAAAGCAGCAGAGCAAGUCCCCCUCGACAUGGCACCUCGAGGGAAAGGCAGGCGUGUGCCUUUUGAAAGAGGAUGCAAGCUGGAGGAUGAAGAGCUGGUGCAGGUCCCAGCGACUCUGGUAUCUGGCCUUCCCUGCCUGCUCCAGCUUCCUAGCUGGUGGGAAGUGUGUAAUACCUGCCCACGGGAAGCACUCGAGACUUAUGAAUGGAAAACGGAUCAUGGAGGUGAAGCAGCAGUGUUUAUUUUGGGUUUUGCCCUUGGCUGCUUCCUUGAUUUCUAGAAGUGGUUCUCGGGGGGAUGUGGGUGCAUGCGCACACGAGGUGCUCCUGGUGCUUGCCUUCUUCCCUCGCAAGGCAGAGCCCUGCUGCUCCCGCAGGUUGCUAGGCUGCCUCCUAUUAAGUGAUGUGACCAACAUCUCUCUCAUGCAAUUCUCUUCCUCCCACUGGAAAAACUGUUUAUGUCCUUUAAAUAAAUAUUUAAUAUCUUUCA